rnacentral:rRNA from 1 species
UACAGAGGGUGCGAGCGUUAAUCGGAGUUACUGGGCGUAAAGGGCGCGUAGGCGGUAUUAUGGGUGUGAUGUGAAAGCCCUGGGCUUAACCUAGGAAGUGCAUCGCAAACUAUAGUACUGGAGUAUAUGAGAGGGUGGCGGAAUUUCCGGUGUAGCGGUGAAAUGCGUAGAGAUCGGAAGGAACGUCGAUGGCGAAGGCAGCCACCUGGCAUAAUACUGACGCUGAGGCGCGAAAGCGUGGGGAGCGAACAGG